GCUAGCGGCAGGCCUAACACAUGCAAGUCGAACGGUAACAUAGAUUGCUUGCAAUCUGAUGACGAGUGGCGCACGGGUGCGUAACGCGUAUGCAAUCUACCUUUUACAGGAGAAUAGCCCAGAGAAAUUUGGAAUAAUGCUCCAUAAUAUCAUUUAUCAGCAUUGAUUUAUGAUUAAAGCUCCGGCGGUAAAAGAUGAGCAUGCGUUCUAUUAGCUAGUAGGUGAGGUAACGGCUCACCUAGGCUACGAUAGAUAGGGGCCCUGAGAGGGGGAUCCCCCACACUGGUACUGAGACACGGACCAGACUCCUACGGGAGGCAGCAGUGAGGAAUAUUGGACAAUGGAGGCAACUCUGAUCCAGCCAUGCCGCGUGCAGGAUGACUGCCCUAUGGGUUGUAAACUGCUUUUAUAUAGGAAGAAACACUCCCACGUGUGGGGGCUUGACGGUACUAUAUGAAUAAGGAUCGGCUAACUCCGUGCCAGCAGCCGCGGUAAUACGGAGGAUCCAAGCGUUAUCCGGAAUCAUUGGGUUUAAAGGGUCCGCAGGCGGCCUGUUAAGUCAGAGGUGAAAUCCUACAGCUCAACUGUAGAACUGCCUUUGAUACUGAUAGGCUUGAGUUAUUGUGAAGUGGUUAGAAUGUGUGGUGUAGCGGUGAAAUGCUUAGAUAUCACACAGAAUACCCAUUGCGAAGGCAGAUCACUAACAAUAUACUGACGCUCAUGGACGAAAGCGUGGGGAGCGAACGGGAUUAGAUACCCCGGUAGUCCACGCCGUAAACGAUGGAUACUAACUGUUCGUCCCGCUUGCGGGAUGAGUGGUCAAGCGAAAGUGAUAAGUAUCCCACC
rnacentral:rRNA from 1 species